rnacentral:rRNA from 1 species
ACGCACGCUGGCGGCGUGCUUAACACAUGCAAGUCGAACGGAAAGGCCCUUCGGGGUACUCGAGUGGCGAACGGGUGAGUCACACGUGGGUGAUCUGCCCUGCACUUUGGGAUAAGCCUGGGAAACUGGGUCUAAUACCGAAUAUGAUCAUCGGCUUCAUGGUCGGUGGUGGAAAGCUUUUGCGGUGUGGGAUGGGCCCGCGGCCUAUCAGCUUGUUGGUGGGGUAAUGGCCUACCAAGGCGACGACGGGUAGCCGGCCUGAGAGGGUGACCGGCCACACUGGGACUGAGAUACGGCCCAGACUCCUACGGGAGGCAGCAGUGGGGAAUAUUGCACAAUGGGCGCAAGCCUGAUGCAGCGACGCCGCGUGAGGGAUGACGGCCUUCGGGUUGUAAACCUCUUUCAGCACAGACGAAGCGCAAGUGACGGUAUGUGCAGAAGAAGGACCGGCCAACUACGUG